GGUCUUGUCGUACAAUGGAUAGUACGUGAGCCUCCGGAGCUCAAGAUCCAGGUUCGAUUCCUGGCAGGACCA
rnacentral:tRNA from 1 species